rnacentral:tRNA from 1 species
GGGCCUGUGGUCUAGUCUGGAUAGGACGUUGGCCUCCGGAGCCAAAGGUCAGGGGUUCAAAUCCCCUCAGGCCCG